rnacentral:rRNA from 1 species
AUGGAAAGAACUUUGAAAAGAGAGUGAAAAGCACUUGAAACCGUCACGGGGGAAGCGGAUUGCGUGAGUGAUGGCGUCGCUUGUUCAGCGCAUUUUUUUGCGUGCAUUCUGGCGGCGCCGUGCCGGCGUGGCUGGCAUGGCGGGAUUCUUGUGAUUCCGCUUGCUGGUGAGGGCUCCCUUCACAGGUGAGGACGCGGGCAAAAUGACGCAAUACGACCCGUCUUGAAACACGGACCAAGGAGUCUAGCACGGCUGCGAGUCGAAGGGUGAUGAAACCCAAGGGCGCAGUGAAAGCGAAAUGAUAAGCAAAUUGGGGAGGCGUUGCGUUUUUAACAAAAUGUCCUACCUUGAGCAAUUGUGCUGGGACCCGAAAGAUGGUGAACUAUGCCGGAGUAGGGCAAAGCCAGAGGAAACUCUGGUGGAGGCUCGUAGCGAUGCUGACGUGCAAAUCGCUCGUCGAACUUGGGUAUAGGGGCGAAAGACUAAUCGAACCAUCUAGUAGCUGGUUCCCUCCGAAGUUUCUCUCAGGAUAGCGGGCCRACACGCGUUUGUUGUUUUGUGC